GACGAGGCACUACGGUGCUGAAGCAACAAAUGCCCUGCUUCCAGGAAAAGCCUCUAAGCAUCAGGUAACAUCAAAUCGUACCCCAAACCGACACAGGUGGUCAGGUAGAGAAUACCAAGGCGCUUGAGAGAACUCGGGUGAAGGAACUAGGCAAAAUGGUGCCGUAACUUCGGGAGAAGGCACGCUGACACGUAGGUGAAGUGAUUUACUCAUGGAGCUGAAGUCAGUCGAAGAUACCAGCUGGCUGCAACUGUUUAUUAAAAACACAGCACUGUGCAAACACGAAAGUGGACGUAUACGGUGUGACGCCUGCCC
rnacentral:rRNA from 1 species